rnacentral:rRNA from 1 species
GACGAACGCUGGCGGCGUGCUUAACACAUGCAAGUCGAACGGAGUGGCGAACGGGUGAGUAACACGUGGGUGAUCUGCCUUGCACUUCGGGAUAAGCUUGGGAAACUGGGUCUAAUACCGGAUAGUGCAAGAUGAGCUCGCGGCCUACAAGCUUGUUGGGGGGGUAAUGGCCUACCAAGGCGUCGAGGGGUAGCCGGCCUGAGAGGGUGUACGGCCACCUUGGGACUGAGAUACGGCCCAGACUCCUACGGGAGGCAGUAGGGGGGAAUAUUGCCCAAUGGGCGGGAGCCUGAUGCAGCGACCCCGCGGGGGGGAUGAAGGCUCUCGGGUUGUAAACGCCUUUCGACAGGGACGCGGUACCUGUAGAAGAAGCACCGGCUAACUACGUGCCAGCAGCCGCGGUAAUAC